GCCGCCGUAGCUCAGCGUGGUAGAGCAGACUAAAAUAGGCUCAGCUGGCUGUUAACCAGUUGGUCGUCGGUUCAAGUCCGACCGGCGGCGCCA
rnacentral:tRNA from 1 species